AAUGAAAUCGAACACAAAGACAACGUGUUCAAUAGAGGAAUUACUGUCGAUGAAAAGCUAAAACCAAAACUAAAGGAUUAGAAGCACGAAAUAAUACACCCGUGGAUUGGAAAACACACGAUUAUCAUGAACGAUAGGUUCAAAGCAGUCAAAGGAACAUGCAGCUAAGGCCAAUGUUGUGCCUAUGGAAGAAGAACAACUUGCUUCAGUCUCAAACAAGUUGAGGUAUAAGAAUUUACUAUUCCAUUUAAGCUCAACACAUGUCAUCAUCAAAC
rnacentral:lncRNA from 1 species